rnacentral:rRNA from 1 species
UACGUAGGGUGCGAGCGUUAAUCGGAAUUACUGGGCGUAAAGCGUGCGCAGGCGGUUCGUUGUGUCGGCGGUGAAAGCCCCCGGGCUUAACCUGGGAAUGGCCGUUGAAACUGGCGAACUGGAGUGUGGCAGAGGGGGGGUGGAAUUCCGCGUGUAGCAGUGAAAUGCGUAGAGAUGCGGAGGAACACCGAUGGCGAAGGCAGCCCCCCUGGGCUAACACUGACGCUCAGGCACGAAAGCGUGGGGAGCAAACAGG